ACAUUGAUGAAUUUUAACGCCAGUAAAAUCAAACCGUCUCGAUAACUAAAUAGUUUAUAAUGGAAGACAAAUCUUCUAUAGACAGAAUAACUGAGGCUCUGUCCCUACUCAAAUCCGAUCUGGUGAGUAUACAUUAUACAGUCUUCCAUCAAGUUGUGAUUGAAAAACGUCCAAAAUAUCUUACACUGCCAACAUUUGAAUUAUGACACGUGUUUUUUUCCUUACUUUUUUCGUAUUAAUUUCAAUUGUGUAUCUGGACUUUUAUUAAAACUUUUGAACUAUUCCUUAUUUAUGGCGUAAGCCAAACAGAGCUCGUCUUCACUGUUGUUGUUGUCUUGUAGAUGGAGAUGAGGAGCCAAGAUGUCAAACUGAUGCGACAACUAAUCUCUAUCAACACCACAAUAGGUAGGAUCACCAACAAGGGGCCCCGGGUCGCAGGCGCCGUCACCAGGAGUGCAAGCUUCGGCUCCAUGAAGCGCCCUACCCUAGACCGGAUGCAGGGCAAGAAAACGACGGACAUCGUCUGUAACCUGAAGAACCCACUGGUCAGACACAGGAGCGCCCCACUGGUGGUGGAACUCCGCAGGAGCGAGGCCUUCGACCACAGUUUUGAUGGUAAAUAAUUGACUAUUCAACUAUUCAGCUUCUUGAUUAACUAACUACUGUUUGUUAACAUUGUCUUGUUCAAUAUUUUUUCCAUGUUGUUUUGUUGAUUUCAAAUUGCUGUGAAUUGUUGAAUAAAAUAGUAACCUUAACGUUCAUUUUGGUUGCAGAAUCUGAGGAGGAGUUAGCAGGUUCCCCCUUUGAGUCUGAGAGUGACCUGGAAUCUCUGGGUGGGUCAACUUCCUCACUGUCCCCGGAAACCCCCAGAAAGUGCCCCCUAUCCUACAUGAGGCCCCUCCCCGAGGAGGAGGACGUGGACGAGAAGAAGUACUACGGGAUUCUGAUGAAGAACAUUAAGUUAUGGAAGUACUCCCAGGAAUCGGUCAGUAGCUCGUGUGGCUCUGACAGUUCAUGAUAUUACUUAGAGGGGAGAAUGGGAAACUGAAUGCUUCUUGUGAAGGGACUAAUUGAAAUCCUGUGCCGCAAAUUAAACAUCUCCUCCACAACGCAAAAUGUUUAUAAUGAAGUUAUUAACAUGAUUUUGUUCUAAACGAAAUCUAUAUCGGAGGACUGGUUUGUUUACCGGGGAAAUAAUUUCAUAAAAUAUCCUUCAUACUUGUUAUUAUGAUAUUGUUCCAUCUAAAUAUAUACCGGAGAACUACUUGAUUUUUACGGAGGAAAUUAUGUGAUAGAAUAUGAUUUUUUUUACAAAUAUCACUGCCAUUUCAUAGUCAUGUAAAGCAGUCCGUGUAGUGAGGAAAUUGUCUCUCUGGUUUUUUUUAGUUACACUAAUUAACACCAGGUUGUAAUUUGCCAGAUGACAUAAAUUAGCAUUUAGAGUGGGAUGUGACGUGAAUCCUGUCCAUCUAUUGAGAGAAGAAACAUUUGCAUUGAAUUUGAAAGUCCGUGUGUCAUAAUUGUGCGUCAGUUGAAUUUGUGUUUAAAUGGCGGUGCUCCUUUUUUAUAUUAUAUUUAUUCAUUUUAUGUACUGUUUUACAAUUGUUGAUGUUUAUACAACUUGUUAUGAAGAAAAAUAAAUCUCUUUAAAUCUUC
rnacentral:misc_RNA from 1 species